UUUCCGCCCUCCUACUUUCCUUUUCUUCCCCACGUUUCCUUUCUUCUUCUUCUUCUUCCCCUUUGCUUUUCUUACUACUUUACUCCAAUUCGUCACAGAUUACCAUCUCUCUAAUGAGUAUCCAAUCAAGUCCGAGACCGAGCAUCUCCCGUCACCAAUCGUUGCCGAUGUCGACGGUGAUGGGAAGGAGGAGGUUCUCGUGGCUACCUAUGAUGCCAAAAUUCAAGUGCCUUUAAUUAUUGUUGGUACUAGAGACUAGAAGGCCAGUGUAAUUCCAUUAUGUGCCUUGCUUUUAUUUGCUUUCGGUUUGUUAUCAUUUUUUUUUUUCAACGCGGAUUCUGUUAAAUGCAAAACCACGAGAAUUUAGGAAAGCGUUGAAAUCUUUGCAUUUAAUUUUUAUUUCUGGAAUUAAAGUUGUUGAUGCCAAACCUAAUUUCUUGUUAUUUAGCCUCAAAAUUUCUUGUAGAUCCCAUGGUUGCAAUCUCAAUUUUUUCAAUUGACAUAAUAUCCAUUUGGGCUGAAUCUGCAACAGAUUUUGAGUUGUUCUUCAAGACGUAUUCAAAGGAAUGCCCAUCAAUCCUAUUCAUUUUUUGGUUUAAACUUUAAAUAGAUGAAUUUGAAGUCUUGGGUGAAUGAAUUUGAUUUAGUUCGGCUGAAUCUGCUACAGCUUUGAUUUGAUAUUCUGUUUCUUGGCGAUAAUCUUAAAGCUCUCUUUUCAAAUUCCUUCAAAAUUAUUCAGGUUUUCCUCUCUUAUCACUCUCACUGACACAUUCACUCACUCCUGUAACUGUCUCAAGAAAUUUAAUUCUGUCUAUUUGGAUUUGUGCCUUUAUAUAUAAAGAAAUUUAAUUCACUAAGCAUGAUGAAAUGAUUCGGGUUUGUUACAGUUCUAAGCCACUACAACGUACUAAAUUGAAGUGCCUAGUUCAAAGUUCAAAGCAUGUAGAUCCAUUAGUCUUAGAUUCAGUAUUGCAAGGAUCAAUCAAUCAGCUUCGAGACAAAACUAAGGGUAUAAUUCCUUUAUAGACAAUACUUAUCAUUGGAAUCUUUUUUAUCUCCUUCCCAUCAUUUCUUUCUUGAUAUGUUGAAUGGUUUUCUUUCUUCUCUCAUUUUUUGUUUUUUUUUUCUUUUUUCACGCUUAGUUAUUUACCAAUCAUGAUGUUGCUGUCACUGUAGAGGACUUGCUCUCGACUAGAAUUAUGGAUGCACGCGUAUAUAGGCUAAUGCAUAUUGAACCUACUUAUUUCAUUUUCAGAAAUAUUUUGAUCUGUAAAUAGAGAACUUUCUAAUCCCAACUGAUUUUCCAUCAUGUUCAAAUGCUAUCUACAUUAGCAUUUGGAAGAUCAUUGUAUACCGAUACAAAAAUUACGAGACGUGAGAAUGUCAUAUUUUUAUAUCACUACUUUUUGUGAUGGAAAGUAUGUAGUUGUCACUCUUUAUUUUCUCUGCUUUGAAAUGAAUUCUUCCCCUUUAUUGUAGCUUGAAACAAAUUAUUAGACACGAUAAAAUUCUUUCUUGCUUGCCUUUCUUGCCAUGAGUUGUCCAAGGCAUAUAGGACAUGUAUAGUAGUUAAAUUUAUAUUCCAUGGGAAAAGUACAUCUUUUUCCCAGGGAGUGUGGAACAUGAUGCAUCCAAUCUCAAAGUAUGUGAUGGCACAGUCAUAUAUAGACCUUUAUAUGAUAUGUUACUUUGAAUCAUGUGAUCUAUAUAGAACGCUAGGCUUUUGAUACCAGCCAAUUUUUUGAUGUGGAAUUUUAGUUUUCCCACCUCUUCCCCAAUCGUGCACUCUUGUAGAAGUGGCAGUUCUUUCACUCUCAUAGAGCUCAAGUAAGAAAAUUCUCUCAUUUGUUUUGUACAUGACAAGUAUAACAUUAUCAUUAGAAGAACUUGUAGUUAAUCUUGUGAAAAUUACUGAAGAUAUGUCGUCACAUGACAUUUACUUGUAGAUGAUACUGAUGCUGGAAUUAAUAUCAUGACGUCCAUUCUAGGUACGAAGCCAGGAUGUCAAAUUUGUGGGUUAGAAUGUGGUCACCUUCGAGACAUUGGGACAUCUUCUUACAAUGUACGUAGUCUUAUAUGCAAUCCGAGUGGAGAUGGAGCAAAGGAUACAAAAUAAGCCGAAAGUUGUUGAGCAAAAACUCCAUUCUACAUUGCACUUUAGGCAUCAUUCUAUACACUAGUUGUAUGGUAAAGUUUUUGGUUCGUUGUACCAUCAUUUACGAUAGAGAAUAAUGCUAAUGGGGACGAUAGCGUUAUUACGGAUGAAGAGAAUAACUUUGGUGAGGAUCAGCUGCAAAUCUAAUUCACGAAGUUGAAGAGUUAUGUUUUUUAGGUGCAGAGCAUGCUUGCUAUACUUUGUUUUAAGUUUACAUGUUACCGUGCUUAGUGAAUGAUUUUAUUUGUGUUUUGGUAAAAUAUUUUGAAUUUAAUGUUAAAUUGA
rnacentral:lncRNA from 1 species